rnacentral:tRNA from 1 species
GGAGUAUGGCUUAGCGGUAGAAUGCGUGCUUAGCAUGCACGAGGUCCUGGGUUCAGUCCCCAGUAUCUCCA